GAGUUUUCGACACCGCGACAGAUGUCAUCCACAGAUUGACGACACAACCGAUACCUGCAAGCCGAUCACGAUCAGUACUCCUCGUCCUCCUCAUCAUCGUCACCACCGCCCUCAGCGCCGACCUCCUCGUAGUCCUUCUCCAGGGCCGCCAGGUCCUCACGGGCCUCGGAGAACUCCCCCUCCUCCAUGCCCUCGCCGACAUACCAGUGCACAAAGGCGCGCUUGGCAUACAUGAGGUCGAACUUGCGGUCGAUGCGGGAGAACACCUCAGCGACGCUGGUGGAGUUGGAGAUCAUGCACACAGCGCGCUGCACCUUGGCGAGGUCACCACCCGGCACCACUGUCGGUGCCUGGUAGUUGAUGCCGCACUUGAACCCUGUUGGGCACCAGUCCACAAACUGGAUCGUGCGCUUCGUCUUGAUGGUGGCCACCGCCGCGUUCACAUCCUUGGGCACCACAUCGCCGCGGUACAUCAGGCAGCACGCCAUGUACUUGCCGUGGCGGGGGUCACACUUGACCAUCAUGUUCGCCGGCUCGAACGCGCUGUUGGUGAUCUCCGACACCGACAGCUGCUCAUGGUAGGCCUUCUCUGAAGAGAUCACCGGCGCAUACGAGGACAGCAUGAAGUGGAUCCUUGGGUAAGGAACCAGGUUGGUCUGGAACUCAUUCACAUCCACAUUGAGGGCACCAUCAAACCUCAGGGAAGCAGUCAGCGAUGAGAUAACCUGCACAGCACAACAAUUUAACACAAAUUACCAUCAGUUUCAGGGCUGUAAUGGUUUAGGAAAAAAGUUUCCACGGCUGUACAAACACCAGAGCAGCUGACAGAUUUCACCACGUUACCUGAGACACAAGGCGAUUCAGAUUGGAGUAGUUGGGCCUCUCAAUGUCCAGAGAGCGCCUGCAGAUGUCAUAGAUGGCCUCGUUGUCGAGCAGGAUGGAGACAUCAGUAUGCUCCAGAAGAGAGUGGGUGGAGAGCACGCUGUUGUAGGGCUCAACAACAGAGGUUGACACCUGGGGAGAUGGGUACACAGUGAAGCCCAGUUUGGAUUUCUUGCCGUAGUCCACAGACAGGCGCUCAAGGAGGAGUGAACCAAGGCCAGAACCGGUGCCACCACCAACAGCAUUGAAGACCAGAAAGCCCUGAAGGCCAGUGCAGUUGUCAGCAAGCUUGCGGAUGCGGUCAAGGCACAGAUCAACAAUCUCCUUGCCAACUGCAGGAACAUGAACAUAAGUGGCACCAUCAGCAAUCAAUCAAACAUAGUGAGAUGAACAAAUUCUGUGCAACAAAAAAGUUUCUACAUGGUUAAUUACUUGUGUAGUGGCCACGAGCAAAGUUGUUGGCUGCAUCCUCCUUGCCGCUGAUGAGCUGCUCAGGGUGGAAGAGCUGACGGUAUAUGCCGGUGCGCACCUCAUCAAUCACAGUGGGCUCAAGAUCAACGAAGAUUGCACGGGGCACAUACUUCCCUGCGCCGGUCUGGCUGAAGAAGGUGGUGAAGGCAUCAUCGUAGUGUCCUGCAGACUUGUCUCCGGGCAUGUGGCCAUCAGGCUGCAAGGAAAAAAAGCAGUUUAAUGGGAUGCAAAUUAUAAAGGGUUCAAAGGAGCAAUUGCACGGGUUCAACAUGUUAUCAAUAAGUGGAGCAACUUAUGCUAUGCAUCAAUUUAAUUAGCCAUUAUGCAGUGCAUCAAUAAGUGAUAUAUCAGUUGCUCAGAGAUACAUGCACCGAACACAACCUCUAGUCCAAUUUGCAUUCAGAUCUAGAAAUGGUACGAACAUGACUUAAUUUAAAGAAUCUGAACGGGAUCCACCGAAUUGAUAGAAGGCAUAUUCGUUUUUCUAAUCUAAUCAACUUCUAGUACACUAUAACUGAAACUUUAGAAAUAGCGCAAUUCAUCCACAAUUACACACAAACCGAUCAAAACUGAUGACUACGAAUAGAGCACAGAAGCAUUUAAAUAACACUGCACAAUUUGACGAGAGCAGGCGUAACGCGUGACCCGCAACUGCAAAUUAUAAAAAUUCGAUUCGAUGGGAGCAACUACUUACUUCCGCUGCAAAGGUACUGCACAACAAAACGGACGACGAACCCAAACCCAGCCUCAAUCACAGUUUGAAUCGCGCAGCAAAUUUCGAACCCUAAAAUUACUAGCACCAACAGAUCUGACUAAAUUCCCCCAAAACAGUUCACCCCAAAUCAGAAUUCUAACGCCCUGCAACUGCAAAUGGCAGGACUCCUCUGAAUCAAAUCGGAAAUUAAACGACGAGGACGACGAGAUGAUGGACGGGAGGAGAGGGGGGCGGCGACUGGACCUGGAUGCCGUGCUCGAGGCAGUAGAGCUCCCAGCACGCGUUGCCGACCUGGAUGCCGGCCUGCCCGAUGUGGAUCGAGAUGCACUCCCUCAUCUUCCUCCCCGACUCGCCUCAAGCAACCGGGGGCGAAACCUUCGGGUCAAGCGACGAACCUCUCGAAGCGAUCGGAGGCGGAGGCGAGGGAAGAGGGAGCGGAGCGGAUCGAUCGAUCGGGAGUGGAAGGGGAGCGCUGGCGUUUGUGAAGACGCCGAGGUGA
rnacentral:lncRNA from 1 species